UUUUUUAUCCUUACUUGGCCAUCAUGACUUUGACGAACUCCUCAUAGUUGAUCUGCCCAUCACCAUCAACAUCAGCUUCACGGAUCAUCUCAUCAACUUCCUCAUCUGUAAGCUUCUCACCGAGAUUUGUCAUGACAUGGCGAAGCUCAGCAGCAGAUAUGAAACCAUUCUGGUCCUUGUCAAACACCCUGAAAGCCUCUUUAAGUUCUUCCUCGGAAUCAGUAUCCUUCAUCUUCCUUGCCAUUAG
rnacentral:lncRNA from 1 species